rnacentral:rRNA from 1 species
CCUACGGGGGGCUGCAGUGGGGAAUAUUGCGCAAUGGGCGAAAGCCUGACGCAGCGACGCCGCGUGAGGGAUGAAGGUCUUCGGAUCGUAAACCUCUGUCAGCAGGGAAGAACGGUAACGGGGCUAAUCAGCAGUGAAUUGACGGUACCGGCAAAGGAAGCACCGGCUAACUCCGUGCCAGCAGCCGCGGUAAGACGGAGGGGGCGAGCGUUAAUCGGAAUUACUGGGCGUAAAGCGCUCGUAGGCGGUAUGUCAAGUCAAGGGUGAAAUCACCGCCCUCAACGUGGGAACUGCCUUUGAAACUGGCAACCUGGAGUGUGUGAGCGGCUAGUGGCAUUCCAGGUGUAGGCGU